CGCCCGUCACGCACCUCACGUUCGUGGGGAACCUGGUGCUAAACCAUUCGUAGACGACCUGCUUCUGGGUCGGGGUUUCGUGCGUAGCAGAGCAGCUCCCUCACUGCGAUCUAUUGAAAGAGGGGUUCAGCAGGAA